GCAUCACUGGUCUAAUGGUAGAAUUGCUGCUUGCCAUGCAGUAGGUCCGAGUUCGAUUCUCGGGUGAUGCA
rfam:Trachipleistophora hominis chromosome Tnknown scaffold00174, whole genome shotgun sequence.